UAUGGAGGAUGCAAGCGUUAUCCGGAUUCAUUGGGUUUAAAGGGUACGUAGGUGGCCCAGUAAGUCAGUGGUGAAAUCCUGCCGCUUAACGGUAGAACUGCCAUUGAUACUGCUGGGCCUGAGUACAGUUGAGGUAGGCGGAAUGUGUAGUGUAGCGGUGAAAUGCUUAGAUAUUACACAGAACCCCGAUUGCGAAGGCAGCUUACUAAACUGUAACUGACACUGAGGUACGAAAGCGUGGGGAGCGAACAGG
rnacentral:rRNA from 1 species